GCCUCGUUCAAAAAUCAUAACACCGCCGCGGCCGCCACGUUCACCAGCCGGAGCCUCGAAUCAUGUCCCUUUGUGGUGAAAAGAGGACACAGCCUGGUGUGAAGCUACAUUUAUUACGGAAGGAUGCCAGCCGGGGUAUGCUGUCCUGAAGACCACCCAUCAACCCGGACUCUAGAAGAAGCCGUCCAAGCGAAUCAAGAACAAGUUCUGGGGGGCAGCAUGAGCCAAUGCAAGAUGGCGCCACUAUAAACACUCGCCUGUGCCAGAAUGGGCUGGGCCGACCAUCAGACCCCACCUGGAAGAAGCCUUGGGCCGACCAUCAGGCCCCACCGGGAAGAUGCCUACCGGCGCAAUAGGCAACAACAUCCGAACACGUUCGAUAUCAUCCAAGAGAAUGUGGCAGAUGAAGGGGAGAGUCCAAGAAAGAGGCCAAGGGUGAAGACAUUUAGCCACCCCCUGAAGUACAUGGCAGCAUCUAACCCUCUUGCUAUAUAGGCUGCAGGAAUGUGCUCCCCAUUGCAGUUCACCAGCUCCAUGUACUGAUUUUGGGUGUGGACUUGAUGGGGUUGGAGGAAACUCAACUCGGCCAUCAAGCUCACCACAAUAUAGUAAGGAACCUCUUGUUCUCAGUGAUAAUUUAUCCUCUUUAGUUACUAUUCCAUGUUGCUUUAAUCACAACUAAUGUGUUGGAAACAUUACAGCUUAAUAACAUACCUCACAUCUCUGCAUACAAAUUGAGUUCAAUAUUUAACUGUAACACCAGUAGGCUUCAUAUCUUUAAAAAAAGGUAUGUAAAAAGGUUGACAUUUUGAAUGAUAUAUUUAAACUCUAUUAUGUUUCUAUGGCUGUAGUACCGUUACGAUUAGUAGAGUGAUCAGCAUAUGGGUCUUAUGUUUUUGAUAGCAUAGGUUCAAAUUUUGCCAUGGGCUGGCAAUUGAUAGUAACAGUAGUGUCCACAGAUACCUGCCUGUUUCUUGUUUAUCCUGUUCCACUUUAAACCAUGACUGGCCAAUCUUUGAAGAGGUAGCAUAACCUUGAAGUGCCACUAACAAACCUUUGUCCAUUCUUGAGGUAGCAUAACCUUGAAGUGCCACUGACAAACCUUUGUCCAUUCUUCUGAUGUGAUCCUUUUUUUUUUCCCCACCCACCUAUAGCGCCAGUAGGUUUUCUUCAGGGGCCUGGUGGUUGGCCCAGGCCCGUUAUGAUGCAGGCAAUUUUUUUUAUAGUGGCACCAUUUAGUAUUGGCUCUUGCUGCCCCCCGGAACUCAUUCUUGAUUCAUUUGGAUGGUUUAGCAGGGCUUAGGUAUGACUAACAUUGCAAAAACAGGGAAUUUUUAGAUUUUUAGUGUGGCAACAUAUUGACAAAUGUUUUGGUAUGGACUGAACAUCAAAGAUAUAUAUAUAUAUAUGGAAAAUGGGUGCUUGUAGAUCUUGACAUUAUAUCUGUCAAGAGUCUCCAGUCAUAUCCUCUCCCUACCUAAUAAUGUGCUGCAGUGACACUUGGCUUGGUUUCAUGAUGUGAAAUUCAGCAUGUAAUUUCAUCACACUAAGUGUCUAUCAUCACAUGUCUGGCAUCAUUAAUGUGGCUUCCAGGAGUAAUCUUGUUUGUAUUACAGCAUGCAAUGUUUUUUCUGUUUUAUAUUGUCGUGGCAUUCAUGGGCACUCUUUUAAUUAAUUAUGUAGGUUCAUUAUACCUCAAAGUAGAAUUAAUUGUUGAUCAUUUAAACCACAGAGUAAAAUUAGUAGUUUAUUCACCCAGUCGUAUGAGGCAUCAUUAUCACACACAGGCUCAUCACCUGCACAAGUAAUAUAGGUAACAUAACUUUAAGAAAGUUACUUGAGGUAAUUAUUGUUUAGAGAUUCUGAUGGUGAACUAAGGGUCGUAGGACAGGGUCCACUUAUUAGAGGUUAGCUUACGUAUCUUACAUCACUAAUUACAUUUGUAAAUACCAUGAGUACAGGUUAACAUUAACACUUUAACUAACAUGCACACAUGGCAAUAAGUAGCACCAACAUAAUAACUGUUUCCACCCACACGGGGAAACACAGACUCCACUAUUUCACACCUUAAUUAAGUCCUAACUAAAACUAGUGUGUUUGCGCUUAUCCAUUGUUACCCCUGAGAACGACACACAUACCACCCUUUUGGCCUUCUCCUUCCUUCCUCUCUUCACACACCCUGCCACAGGCAAUCCCCCACAAUGCAGCUUCAAAAGUGUUUACUGCUGCAUGUUGGCCUUGGUCUGGGCGAUGCCCAGCUUCCCAUCUGUCAGGCUUGCCUUUGGCACACCUGAAAGGGGCGAUGUCGCUCGUGAGAAUGCAGUCUCAGUUAUAGUAUUAUAGCCAAAGUGAGUUGAACACUGUGAACGGCUCUUUCCUCACCUGAAAGGGGCAAUGACGCUCGUGAGAAUGAGCUCGCUCCCACAACCUAGUGCGAGGAAGGGGCGUUAGUCUCGGCCCCAAAAUGCCUUGGUGUGACGUCACAGAGUGACAAACUGGUCGCAGGGUAGGCCUGCUUGAGACCUGAGAUUUCCUUGGUAGGCCUCCAAUAUCAAUAUAAGGUCAUUGGUAUUUUAUUUCCAUUAUAAAUAUUUACCGUUCUCCCGCAAUAAUUAAAAGAAGGCAGAUUGACCACUUUGGCAACGAUACCCUGUUUUGACCCCUGAAUUUUGUUGACACUACAGAUUGUAGGGGAGAUAUGGGAGCACAACAGGCCACUUUGUUUCAACCCCCAUCUCUUCCCUCUCGUUCCCUUCUCUCUCAAACUUCUUUCUCUCUCUCUCCUCUCAUACUUUUCAUUUUUUCUCCUUCUCUUGUGUACUUCCUUAUUUCCCUUCUCUCUCUCUCUCUCAUGAGAAACCCACAUACAUAUAUAACUGGUUGCACAAACACCCCAGGUUAACUCUAUUUACAUGGGGAAAAAUACCAUUACAAUUGUAGUACAUUUCGGGCCAUUACAAUAUGAUAUACAUAAUCACAUAGGUAUGAUUUUUUUUGACAAAAUGUAAUGGCAGUUGAUAUUCUUGACUAAUGCCUCAUAAACCUUUUGAAAAACAAUGCUUUUUUUGAGGGGGGUGGGGUGGACAGAGAGUGGUUUGUUUGGUUGGCCAGUUCAAGGAGUUACAUAUCAAAUGAUUUUAUUACAUCCAACUUUAAUGUGUGCUUCCUGCAAUAAAUAUUACAUGUUUACUGAUGUAGCCUAUGAAAUACAUAUCACUCUGCCCUGUAAUUUGGUGUGUCACAUACUGCAGCAUAACUUUCCUGAUAUUUUAUUUCACUAUGAGUUGCCUUAUUUUGUCUCAUUUGCUUUUAUCAUAUGUGCCUCUGCUGCAUAGUUGUGCCUACUGAGCUUAAUAUCUUCAUGACCCUGACACCAAGGUCAGAGCUUGAGAUCAUACCAUGUCCUACAUCCCAUUUUCACUUCCAGGCUCGGCUGUCUCCCAGGACCACCAAGUUAUUGCAUUCCAUUUAAGACAACUCAUGUGUUACCUUCUUGAUGUCCUCCAUCAUGUAUUUCAGCAUGUUUUAUGAUGCUUUGCCUUGCAACAUUUUUAUACAGUUUUUAUUGUAUAUAACGCACCAUUGUUGGUUUUGCCUGUUAUAAAUCGGGUCAUGUUCAGUUAACAAGCUUUAAGUGUCUCCCAUUGUUUAUUUCAGUUAUAAUGCUUAGAAGCUUUUGUUCUCUACCCUGUCAAACAGUGUGCAAUGCUUGCCAUUAUCUGGCACUUGUACAGUUAGUAUGAUAUUUUUACUCAGCUAAGAGCAUGUUGCAAAAGGCAAAGGUACGGUUGGGGACAUACACUGUAGCAGCGUGUGGCCUCGGUGCUCAUCUCCGUAACAUUGGCCCUUGAGCCUGUGGUGUUAGGGAACCCAUUACCCUGGGACACAGGACCAGUGUGACAUCCGGGUUACCACAGUUGCAAAGGCAUUAUAAUAUUCUAGCAUGCAUAGAAUGCUGUAUGCUUUGCUUGUAUUUAAAGCACUGGAUAUGUUUGCUACACACACACACACACAUAUAUGUGUGUGUGGAUGUGUACCGAGGCCACACGCUGCUACAGCGUAUGCCCCCAACCGUACCUUUGCCUUUGCAAAGCUGAGUCGUCAGAGUAACGGCCUCGUGUUCAGGAGGACGUGAGUUCAAUCCCCGCCCGGUGCCACCAAGCUGGGAUUUUUCAGCCGCCGCCGAGUGGCUUAAAACUACCCACAUGCUGUCCAGAAGACCACCUAUCAACCCGGACUCUAGAUUCUAGGAUCAAAGAUGAGCUCUGGGAGGGCAGCAUGAGCCAAUGCAAGAUGGCGCCACUAUAAACACUCGCCUGCGCCAGAACGGGCUGGGCCGACCAUCAGGACCCACCGGAAAGAAGCCUUGGACCGACCAUCAGGAUCCACCGGGAAGAAGCCUACCGGCGCAAUAGGCCACAAAGUAAAAAAAAA